rnacentral:tRNA from 1 species
ACAAUGGUGGUUCAGUGGUAGAAUUCUCACAUUCCAUAUAGGAGAACCAGGUGCAAUUCCUGGCCAAUGCA